UCUUUCUCUCUCUCUCUCUCUCAGAGUUCUUCCACUACAAGUUUCCAUACCUACACCUUCCAUUUCCAUGUCUAAAGAUCACAUAACCCAGCAAAUUCUACCAGAACUUGAAGAAUCUGCCACAUCACAAGGUCCCAAGCAAGACGAUGGUGAGGUAGUUGCUGCUGAUGAACUAGUACCAAGUGAUCAAGAAGAGUGCAAAACACCAACUUCUAGUAAUCACAAGAUACCAACUAUCCGAAGCUGCCCACCAACACCAAAAAAGAAAGUGCAAAAAUUGUUCUUGAACAAGAGGAAAUUGCCUGAGAUGGACUUCUUUGAAGCUGCUAAUAGAGAUGAGGUAGAGUCUUUCUUUCGAUCUAGCUUUGAGUUAGCUAGAGUUGAAUAUCGUCGCAUGAAGAGAAGAUGUAGAAGUCAUUGAUGAUCAGAUUUUCUUUAAAUUUAUGAUCUCUUCAUAUGUGUACAUAUAUGCAAUAUAUUUAAUUUUUUAUUCUUAUGUAUGAAUCUUGAUAAAUCUAGCUAUAGCUAACACUUAAUUUUUAUCUGUUUAAUUAUACUUAUGAUCUUUAUUGAGGUGUAGAAAUGGAUCGAUCAUGAUGUUAGCUAGGCCUAUGACUAUGAUCAUAAAUUAUCUAUCCAUUUUUAUCUUUGUUCAUCUUCAACAGAAAGAAAGUUUUGUUUCUUCUGUUAGUACAAUCUCUU
rnacentral:misc_RNA from 1 species